rnacentral:lncRNA from 1 species
GCUUUUGCCGGCGGCGCCCGGGGCUGAGGCUGGCGUCCCGCCCGCAGCGCACGGUGCAGAAGAACGCCAAGUACAUCUGCCUGGCCAACAAGGACUGCCCCGUGGACAAGCGGCGCCGCAACCGCUGCCAGUUCUGCCGCUUCCAGAAGUGCCUGGCCGUGGGCAUGGUCAAGGAAGGUACGGCGGGGCCCGCGGGGCCUGGGGCGGCGGGCGGCCGCGCGCCGGGGUUGGCGGCCGCUGCAAGGUUUGCAUUKGCGAGCUCUGCCCCUGCCCAGCGCCGUGCCCGUGCCAGGGAGCGGUGCUGAGAACGGCCAAACUCGUUGCACGGGCAGACCCUUUGCACAGCCAAACUCAUUGCACGGCCAAGCUCUUCGCAAAGGCAGAGUCGUUGCAUGGCCAAACUUUUUGCAAAGCCAAAGUCGUUGCGUGGCAGAACAUAUUGCACAGCCAAACUCGUUGCAAAGCUGAAGUCAUUGCAGAAGCUGAACUCGYUGCAUGGAUGAACACCUUGCAAUGCAUUCGGCUUUGCGUGGCUGAGCUCAUUGCAAAGCCGAGCUCCCGGCACAGCCAGACCCGUAGCGCGGCUGGGCCGGGGGGUCCCUAUGGUGGGCCCCCUCCUCACGCCGCCUCCCGCCCGCAGUGGUGCGGACCGACAGCCUGAAGGGCCGCCGGGGCCGGCUGCCCUCGAAGCCGAAGCAGCCGCAGGACGCGUCGCCCGUCAGCCUCAUCACCUCGCUGGUGCGGGCGCACAUCGACUCCGUGCCCAGCGCCACCAAGCUCGACUACUCCAAGUUCCAGGAGUCGGUGCCGUGCCAGUUCGAGAAGGAGGACUCGGUGGACGUGCAGCAGUUCUACGACCUGCUCACGGGCUCCAUGGACGUCAUCCGCAAGUGGGCCGAGAAGAUCCAGGGCUUCGCCGAGCUGCCCCGCGAGGACCAGGACCUGCUGCUGGAGUCCGCCUUCCUGGAGCUCUUCAUCCUGCGCCUGGCCUACCGGUGAGACGGGGCGGCCGGUGCGGCGGGACGGGGCGGGUCGUGGGGUGCGGGGGUCCCCUGCGCUGACGCCGCCUGCCCCGCCGCAGCUCCAAGCCCGAGGAAGGCAAGCUCAUCUUCUGCAACGGCGUGGUGCUGCACCGGCUGCAGUGCGUGCGGGGCUUCGGCGACUGGAUCGACGCCAUCCUCGAGUUCUCGCAGAGCCUGCACCGCCUCAACGUCGACGUGCCCUCCUUCUCCUGCCUCGCCGCCCUCGUCAUCAUCACGGGUGAGCGGGGGGCCCCGCGCCGCCGCGUCGGUCCCGGUGCUGUCCCUGCCGUUGCRCCAGUCCUGGUCCCAUCCCUGCCGUUGCGUCGGUCCCGGUCCCCACCGCGAUGUUGCAUCGGUUCUGCUCCCUGUCCCCACCAUUGCAUCGGUCCCUGUCCCCAUCUCCCCAUUGCAUCGGUCCCCACCACACCGCUGCACUGGUCCCCAUCCCCACCAC